rnacentral:lncRNA from 1 species
CUUUGUGUGCAGGGAAGGCACCUGCGGUGGCCUGUGGCUCAGGAGUGGUUCUACUGUGCUCGUCUGAAAUGUUUGUUGCCAACCUGCAUGUCUGCAAGUUCACCUGUCUACAGCUCUUUCUUUCUGUGUUUCAUCAGGUGUCUGCACGGUAGGAAUUGUAGGCUGAUCUUCAGAUAAGGGUUUGGUUUUGAAACUUAGAAGUACUGCAGUGAACUAACACUAAAUAUGCAGGUUCUUGGAUAGCACCAAGUGCGUCUUUCUCCAUGUCUGAGCUCACUUGGCUCCUCACAGUGGGCCUUUCUGACUUCUUGGUACAAAGUGUUCAGGGUCUUCACUAAAAGACACUGUAGAAAUUACUGUUGUGUCACAGCACAAUAAAUAACGGGUAAUGCUGAUUCUGCUUUUGAUAUAGGACAACAUCAAAGUUUUGCUCCUGUGCUGCUUACACAAGGGAAAGACUCAUACGUUGGUGUCUGUGCCUAAACGAGAUCUUAUAUGUUAUGGGGUUGCCAGAUCUCAUUGAAUCAUUUGGUUCUUUCUGCUUUAGGCUUUGGAAAUGCUUCCAUAGAAGAGCAGCAAUGCUUCUGCUUUGCACAGAGGUGACUUGUAGCUCAUGGUUCACUGAUUUAGAGGCAACCAGCCUAAAACAACUCCCAGUGUUCAUUGAAGUUAUAGAAGCACAGAAUAUAUAGCACGGAACCGCUCCAGAGUUUGACAGAUGGGACUGAAACUGGUUAGUGACAACACUGAAAGGCAACUUUGUGGUAUUAAUGAGAGAGCAGAAAAGAGAGCUCCUUAGUGAAGCGCAGGUCAGGAGUCUGACGUGGGGUGAUGGGGAGGAGGGUUGGAAGAAGUUACCAAGGGGAAGCGAGAAGUGACAUGGACAAAUUAGUUAUCAGUGCAGAAACUGAAACUGUGCUGGAGAGUGGUGGGCUGAGGAGACAGGAGAAAAGCAGGGAUUCUGUGGCAGGGGGAAAAUUAUACAUAGACCUGUCCUGCCUGGGGUGAAAUUAAGAGGGAGUCAUUGAGAGCAUGUGGCAACAGCUCCUGCUGCUUGGGCAAAAAUGGUAUCACUUUGUAUGUGGAUGAUAGAGCAGGUUCUAGGGCUUUGUGUUUGUAAAUAAUCCUGUGGAGGAGUAAUCAAGCUUGUAAUUAGCUGUUGGGUUUUUUGAA